rnacentral:rRNA from 1 species
AAAGAUUAAGCCAUGCAUGUCUAAGUACAUGUGUAAUUUAACACGAAACCGCGUAUGGCUCAUUAUAACAGCUAAAAUUACUUGAUUUUGACUUUUAUCCUACAUGGAUAACUGUGGUAAUUCUGGAGCUAAUACAUGCAUAAAAGAUAUAACAUUUUUAUGUUAUAUUGCGUAUAUUAGUAUUAAAACCAAGCAUUCUUCGGAAUGUUUUGUGUUGAAACUGAAUAUAUCAUGCUGAUCGUAUGGUCUUGUACCGACGACAUGUCAUUCAAGUGUCUGAUCUAUCAACUUUCUAUAUAAGUAUAUAGUACUUAUAUGGUUUUGACGGAUAACGGGGUAUUAGGGUACGACUCCGGAGAAAAUGCCUGAGAAACGGCGUUUACAUCCAAGGAAGGCAGCAGGCGCGAAAAUUACCCACUCUCAGUACGAGGAGGUAGUGACGAGAAAUGACAAGAUCUAUUCCUUCGGGGAUGGAUCAUUGGAAUGGUUUGAUUUUAAAAUCAUUAAAGAGUAUCAAUGAGAGGGCAAGUCUGGUGCCAGCAGCCGCGGUAAUUCCAGCUCUCAUACUGCAUUGAAUUGUUGUUGCGGUUAAAAAGCUCGUAGUUGGAUCUGUACAUGAUAGGUUAGUUCAUCCUUUGGAUUGUAACUAAUACUAAAUGUUUUUUAUUAGAUUUUUUUAUGUUCUUUACGGGAUAUAAAAUGUCUAAUGAGUUUACUUUGAAUAAAUCAGAGUGCUCAAAACAGGCGUAAGCUUGUAUGGUUUUGCAUGGAAUAAUAGAACAUGACUAUGGUUCAUGUUUUAUUGGUUUUACUUACCAUAGUAAUGAUUAAAAGGAACAAACGGGGGCAUCCGUAUCGCAGGGCGAGAGGUGAAAUUCGUGGACCCUUGCGAGACGAACUACAGCGAAAGCAUUUGCCAAGAAUG